GCGUUUGUGGUUUAGUGGUAAAAUCCAUCGGUAUGUCCAAUCAAAAACCUUCAAAUAACAAUAGCUAACAUGAAAACAGUUGCCAUAAGACAUCUUCAACUUCGAUGGGCCCCGGGUUCGAUUCCCGGCGAACGCA
rfam:Phialocephala scopiformis strain CBS 120377 unplaced genomic scaffold LY89scaffold_15, whole genome shotgun sequence.